UACGAGGGGGGCAAAUGUUGUUCGGAAUCACUGGGCGUAAAGGGAGCGUAGGCGGGUUCUUAAGUUAGGUGUUUAAUCCCGGGGCCCAACCCCGGACCGGCACUUAAAACUGGGAAUCUUGAAUAGUGGAGAGGUCAGUGGAACUGGGGGUGUAGCGGUGGAAUGCGUAGAGAUCCCCAAGAACACCAGUUGCGAAGGCGGCUGACUGGACACAUAUUGACGCUGAGGCUCGAAAGCAUGGGGAGCAAACAGG
rnacentral:rRNA from 1 species